CAGAUUUUGUAUGGGAAUAGCUCCACUCUUGAUAAAGUUCGAGAAAGUCAAGACAACUUUAAAAGCUGGACAGCUGAAAAACAUGCCAGACACACAAGAGACAAGAAAGAAGAGACAAUGAGCCCAGGGAGUACCACCAACCAGCUCAGCCGACCGUCACUGCCCGGCCAAUCCAAAUGCCGGUGACUCCAUAUCUGAACAGGGAUGCAACCCCCCUGCCACACAUGCAGCAUCUUCAACCCACAGCACCAAAAUGUUUUUUUCUUAAUGUGCUUGUGAGGUGUGGACGGAUCUCGAACCCCAGACCUUUAACCCUUCGGACUGCAUCCUGACUGCUAAUCUAAUUCUCUUGGAUUCUCAAUUGCUGACUGUUGGCUUCGUUUCUGAACUCCUCUAAAUUCCUGCCUUUGUGGUUGCAACUACUCAUCUUGGUUGAUGUUCUAUUGGACCACCUUCUGGAUUGCGUAACUCUCUGCCCCACCAGUAGACUCCCUCCAGCUCAGCAUUUCCCUCAGAAGAAGUAAGCUAGUUUGGACAUUUUAAACUAUUAGCAGCCUAUUCCAAUUUAACCAGUACCUCUCUCUCAGAGAGCAUCCUGUGCAACCUGAGUUCCUGCCUGUGAUUUCCUGACCAGAGAAUCCGGUGUAACCAGAACAUGUUCUGUAAAGAAAUAUA